rnacentral:rRNA from 1 species
UACGGAGGGUGCAAGCGUUAAUCGGAAUUACUGGGCGUAAAGCGUGCGUAGGCGGUUUGCUAAGUCAGAUGUGAAAGCCCCGGGCUUAACCUGGGAACUGCAUUUGAUACUGGUUAACUAGAGUUUAAUAGAGGGGAGUGGAAUUUCAGGUGUAGCGGUGAAAUGCGUAGAUAUCUGAAGGAACACCAGUGGCGAAGGCGACUCCCUGGAUUAAAACUGACGCUGAGGUACGAAAGCGUGGGUAGCAAACAGG